rnacentral:rRNA from 1 species
CAUGGGCGGGGUGCCAAUAAUGCAAGUCGAGCGGAGUUUGAAAGAAGCUCGCUUCUUUCAAACUCAGCGGCGGAAGGGGAGUAACACGUGGGUAACCUGCCUAUAAGCCUGGGAUAACAUUCGGAAACGGAUGCUAAUACCGGAUAUGCACUUUGAUCGCAUGAUCAAAGUGGGAAAGACGGAGCAAUCUGUCACUUAUAGAUGGACCCGCGGCGCAUUAGCUAGUUGGUGAGGUAAUGGCUCACCAAGGCGACGAUGCGUAGCCGACCUGAGAGGGUGAUCGGCCACACUGGGACUGAGACACGGCCCAGACUCCUACGGGAGGCAGCAGUAGGGAAUCUUCCGCGAUGGACGAAAGUCUGACGGAGCAACGCCGCGUGAGUGAUGAAGGUUUUCGGAUCGUAAAGCUCUGUUGCCAGGGAAGAACGCUAUGGAGAGUAACUGCUCCAUAGGUGACGGUACCUGAGAAGAAAGCCCCGGCUAACUACGUGCCAGCAGCCGCGGUAAUACGUAGGGGGCAAGCGUUGUCCGGAAUUGUUGGGCGUAAAGCGCGCGCAGGCGGUCGAUUAAGUUUGGUGUUUAAGGCUGAGGCUCAACCUCAGUUCGCACUGAAAACUGGUUGACUUGAGUACAGAAGAGGAAAGUGGAAUUCCACGUGUAGCGGUGAAAUGCGUAGAUAUGUGGAGGAACACCAGUGGCGAACGCGACUUUCUGGGCUGUAACUGACGCUGAGGCGCGAAAGCGUGGGUAGCAAACAGGA